UGUUAAUGCUAAUCGUGAUAGGGGUUUUUACCUCGGACUGACUCCUACAUGUUAGCAUUAACA
rnacentral:pre_miRNA from 2 species